rnacentral:rRNA from 1 species
CUUGAAGACGACGAGGUUGAUAGGUUCGGGGUGGAAGCACAGUAAUGUGUGGAGCUGACGAAUACUAAUAGGUCGAGGGCUUAUCCUA